CUUGAUUCCUAGAUAGGAAAAUAGAAAAAGAAAGAAAGAAAGAAAAAGAAGAAGGCUUCUCUCAACUGACUUUUCCCACUUCAGAAAGGACGUGUAUUUACAUGUUCUCAGAAACUCUCAAAAUGAACAACUAUUUUCCAGGAAAGGCAGGAAUUAUCAUUUGAUGGGUCAUGAUACCCAGUGGCAGCUACUCCUUAUAAACCAAAGCUGAUAAAUGCCAUCCACUAAUCAGUGACUAAUGACAUAGGACUUUCUGUCCAGAGGAAAAGCUCUUCAUGCUAAAAUCAGAAAAGUGACAACCUCUACUCAGUCUUGGAAAAAGGAUCUCUCACAAAUAUUGUAAGCUCAGAUAUUAUUAUUAUUUUAGCAAUAUUUUAAUAUUAAUAUUAUUAAAUAUAUUAUAAUGCAUUAUAAUUCUAUAUACUUAAUAUAUUAUAUUGUAUUAUUAUGAUUAUAUAGUAUUUACUAUAUUAUACAUAAUAUAAAAUGU
rnacentral:lncRNA from 1 species